ACACGCAUGACACACUGCAUAUCAAUAAGCGGAGGAAAAGAAACUAACAAGGAUUCCCCUUAGUAACGGCGAGUGAAGCGGGAAGAGCUCAAAUUUGAAAUCUUCAAGGUUUCCCUUGACGAAUUGUAGUUUAUAAGAAGUGUUUUCUGUUAGUGGAGUUCGGCUAAAAGUUCUUUGGAAUAGGACAUCAUAGAGGGUGAGAAUCCCGUAUUUGACCGUUACUUUCCUAGCUGUGUGAUACACUUUCAACGAGUCGGAUUGUUUGGGAAUGCAGUCCAAAAUGGGUGGUAAAUUUCAUCUAAAGCUAAAUAUUGGCGAGAGACCGAUAGCGAACAAGUACCGUGAGGGAAAGAUGAAAAGAACUUUGAAAAGAGAGUUAAACAGUACGUGAAAUUGUCAAAAGGGAAGCGUUUGACACCAGUGUUGUUUUUCCGAAAAUCAAUUACGAAUGUUUUGUUUUUGAGGAAGUUAUGACUUCAUCGGCUUGCUUCCUCUCUUUACGAAACUUUCUUAAUGCACUUUUCGGUUAACAAGUCAACAUCAAUUUCUUUUGUUGUAAAAGGGUAUGAGGAAGGUGGCUUUCUUUUCGGAGAAAGUGUUUAUAGCCUUGUGCCUCUGCAAUCGGAGAGAUUGAGGUCUGCAGCGUAGAUCCUUCGGGGUUAGAUACAUUUGUGCUAAGUUAUAGCUUUUCAUAGACAACUUGUUGACUAUGUUUAGUCUUGUAGCUUACUCGCUUACUGCUAUUUUACCUACGCUUAGGAUGUUGACGAGACUGUCGAUCUCAUCUACACGCAUGACACACUGCAUAUCAAUAAGCGGAGGAAAAGGCUGCGGAACUGGAACGACCGCUACCUACGCUUAGGAUGUUGAUCUACAGAGCGAGAGU
rnacentral:rRNA from 1 species